rnacentral:piRNA from 1 species
UGCUAAUGCUAACCCCUCAUAAUCUGC